rnacentral:rRNA from 1 species
GAUCCUGGCUCAGGACGAACGCUGGCGGCGUGCUUGACACAUGCAAGUCGAACGGAGCACCCUUGAUUGAGGUUUCGGCCAAAUGAUAGGAAUGCUUAGUGGCGGACUGGUGAGUAACGCGUGAGGAACCUGCCUUUCAGAGGGGGACAACAGUUGGAAAUGACUGCUAAUACCGCAUGACGCAUUUUGAUCGCAUGGUCGAAAUGCCAAAGAUUUAUCG